rnacentral:rRNA from 1 species
UACAGAGGUCUCAAGCGUUGUUCGGAUUCAUUGGGCGUAAAGGGUGCGUAGGUGGCGCUGUAAGUCGGGUGUGAAAUUUCGGAGCUUAACUCCGAAACUGCAUUCGAUACUGCGGUGCUUGAGGACUGGAGAGGAGACUGGAAUUCAUGGUGUAGCAGUGAAAUGCGCAGAUAUCAGGAGGAACACCGAUGGCGAAGGCAGGUCUCUGGGCCAUAACUGACGCUGAGAAGCGAAAGCAUGGGGAGCGAACAGG